CUCUAUUUGUUUCUAUAGUAUAAAAGCUACAACUCUGACAAGUGAGAAAAUUGGAGCUGUACAGAAUACUGGAAAAGCCUCUCAAGGGAAUUUGAACUCCUGUAUUUCAUCAAAACAUACAGGAGAUUUUCAUAUGAUGCAUGGUUAUUUCAGCUACCAGUAGGAAAAAAAAUCAUCCGUGAUGGAAACCCUAAAAGGGAACUCCAUGUUAAGCUGGGAUGCCAGAGAGCUGUCCCCCUCAGUAAAAGGGCAAAUGAGAAACAAACCAUGUCACAGUAAGGGACAGCUAAGAAACUUGGCUUGUCUCAACUUUGUCACUGGGAGGAAGAAGGAAAAAAAAUUCCCCUGAGAAUUCCAAUGUCAAGUCGGUACUUAAGGGUUUUCCGUUUGAAUUCACAUCAAUAAUGUAUCCAAAAAAACUCAAGAAGAGAAUUUAAAGUGAUUUCAGGUUGGUAGAUCCCUGAGAUAACUGGCAGAGGCAAAGGCAAAUCUUCCUGGAAGAAUUUGACUUUAAUCUAGGCCAACAGUGAUGGUGAGAUGCCAUUUCCUUAUAGGACACACUCUAAUCUCUGAGAUGCUAAAGUAUAAAGAAACAGGCAUCAUUGACUUGAUGAAACAUGGCAGUCAGGAGGCGAGAAGGACUUUCCCAAUACACUGAUGCUUGGAUUGAGGUUGAGAUCUGAAAGAUGCAAAGGCUUUACCUUGGUGAAGAGGGCUGGAAGAACAUUCCAGGCAGAGGGAUGAGGAUGUGCAAAGGGACUGUGGAGAGAGAGACACAGAGAGUUCAGGGGACUGGAGGAGCCUGGUGUGGCUGGAGCAGAGAAGGGGCGGAGCAUGCUUGUGGGUGAGGCUGGAGAGGUGAGCUCAGGUGAGACCUUGCAGGGUCUUGCAGGCCACAUGAAGGAGUUUGGUCUAGAUCUUAACAGAAAUAGGGAGCCUAAAAGGUUUUUUGGAGGGAGAGGUUAAGAGUAUCACAUUUGAGUUUAUAAGCAAUGAUUUUGACUGCAGUAAGAAAAAUGGAUUGAGGGUGGAUGGAGGCUUAUGGAUGGUGCCUACAGUCUAACCUUUAGCCUUGACUCUCUUCUUUGAGGGAAGGAUAACCCAGAAAGACUGAGGCCCACUCUGAACUUUACCAUCUGAAAGGGAAAAGUCCUCAGACACGGCAAGUUCAGAGCUGGCACCACGCCAGGACAUCUGUGGGGGUCCUGGGGAAGGAUCCUAGGAGACUCUAAAGGUGGCAGUUUGGCUUUCUCAUUUUAUAUCUUAUACUACAUUACUUGCCAUGUUUUUCUUUUGUCCUCAAGUGAGCUGCCAAGAAGCUGUAGUUUUUUGAAGAGAUUUCCACAGCGCAGAGGAUAAUGCUUUCCUUAAAUUCUCACCUGUCUUAUUUUUUAAUAAAAAUCUACUCAACUUCAAUGGCUGGGACUGCUUCCACACUAAGAGAAAGGCAGGGUGUAGUCUCAGUGGCUGCAUUUUCUGUGGUGGUUCUUUUUGCAGAUGCCCUGUCUCUGGCUUUUUAUUAGGAGUAUUUUAUCUUUAAACUCUAAACAUAGUGUCAGAAAAGAGUGACUUCCAACACCUAUAUAAGAUUUAAAAUUUGCUCUUUUGUUUUUAGAAUUUGCUUUAUCAAUAAGCAUAAAACUAUAUAAACAUGCCUUAUCAUGCAUCAUACAUAUUGGGAUUUUAUUUAGUGAAAUUACUUUUUACUCAUUUUCUGCUUAACUUACUUCUCUCCAUCACCUAGCCUUCCCAGUCCGUGACUGUGUCCCAGUCCCCAGUAAAUCAUCAAAUUUAUUUUUAUUUGUUUAAUUAAAAUUUUUGCUGUUGUCAGGGCUGUGGAGUUGAUUCCAACUUCUAGUGACCCUGGGUACAGCAGAGCAGAGCCCUGCCUGGUCUGUUUGUGUCAUCCUCUCACCUUUGGUGCUAUAUCAGACAAUGUCCCGCUGCUAUUCACAGGGAUUUAUGGCCAAUGUUUUCAGAAGUGGGUGGCUAGGUCCUUCUUCCUAGUCGGUCUUAGUCUGGAAGCUCCAUUGAGUUCUGUCCACCAUGAGUGAGCCUACUGGUGUUUGAAAUACUGGUGGCAGAGCUUUCAGCAUCACAGCAACAUGCAGCUCCCACAGUAUGACAACCGACAGACAGGUGUGGUUCCCUGACUGAGAAACAAGCUCAGGCUGUGGCUGUGAGAGAGCCGAAUCUUAACCACUAGACCACCAAAUUGAAACUUAUAUGGUGCUAAUAUGAGCUCGGCAUGUUCUAGACAUUUGACAAACUUUAGGAAACUGGUGAACUCUGUGGAUUUCUUUUCAGAAUAAUGUUUUUAAGUGCAUAAAAUAAAAUGCAUAGGAUUAUAAAGUAAACCAAUUAUUUUGAAACAAAGUUAUCAAAUCAAAAAUAUUGUGAUCCAUAUGAUAUUUAAUAACACAUUAAAUAAAAAGAUCUAGCAUUCAGCCAAAUAACUGGCAUAUUUCAAAGUAAUGAUAUUUUGAGUUAUUUGCAACACCUCUGAUGUGUUAUGAAAAUAUCUUUCUAUUUGUAACACGGUUAGGUACCGCAAAUAAUAUUGCAGUUGGUUACCUACAUUCAUCAUUGAAGGAAGUGCUAAGCUUCAGUUAGAUAUUGUGAAAAUAAAGGUCUAAUUUUUGUCUACUCAAGUUUGUGCACCAAGCCGAGGUUAAGAUAACACCUUUUGAUGGAGGAAUUCCAGUUCUGCUAAACAAACAGAAUGUGUUGUAUUCUGUGUGUUCAAAGCUCAUAAGAAUGUAGUUUGAUAUUCAGGAAAUGAGUUUUUGUUUCCCUUGUUGGUGGAGGAGCAAGCAGGUACAGGGAGGAUGUACAUUCCCAUGGGGAACAAACUCUAAUGGGACAUGGUGGGGCUUCAGCAUCAUGCUAACUUGACUCUGGGUAGCAGGGGUGGUUUGAACUAAUAAGAAAUCCAAGAAGAAAAAAAUUCCUGAAAAAUAUUGAUUGAAUUAAUCUUAAGUACAGAUAAGGGGACACGUUGAAUUCUCAUAGAUAGUGAAUAUUUUUUCAGAUACUUUGAAAAAUCUGAAGAUGUCAGUGCCUUUAUGUCAUGCACUUCUUUUAAAAAUACCACUCUGGGAAGCUCAGAUUCCAACCUUGAUGAGGCAGAUGGGUUUGUUUACUGUCAGACAAAAAGUCACUGAUAGUGGUGGAAAGAGCAAAGAUGUCUUCUUCAUAGGGCAUCUUAAUUUUGUCACUGUUAUGAAGAGUGAGACCUUCAUAUCUCUCGAUUGUAUUGUAAAGAAGACUUGGCCUCAAAUCUCUCGCUUGAUGUUUUAGACAUAGAUCUUUUUGCUUAGCAACUGGAGAAGCACCACAAUUAUGUUUUAAGCAAUGGCUUUCCAACUUUUGUGAUUGCAAGGCCCGGUAAAAGAUACAUUUUAUAUUGAAAGCCAAUACACACACACUGGUAUAAAUGACACAGAUGUCUCCCAAAAUACUGACCUUACUAUGUAGAAUGAGCUGAUAUUUUCUAUUUCAGUGCAUUUUAUUCCAUUACUUUUUUCUAUUUAUACCAGGUACUUUGUAUAGUGAAAGUUCCCACUUGGUUCCAAAAGGCACUUAAGAUCACAACUCUUGUUGAAAUGUGGGGACUUUUAAUGGGCUAUUUGCCAGUUGAGGUCUUUUCUGGGGACUUUUUAGAGCAGUGAUUUUCAAAUCAAGCAUUGGGAUAUUAAGAAAAAUUAAAAAUAGAAGUAUACAUACACAUACAUAAAUGCGUAUAUUUAUUAUAUAUUACAUAUGUAUAAAUAUGUGUAUAUAUGCGUGUUUGCACACACACACACCCUUUCUUUUUACUAUUGACUUCAGUCAAGAAUUGAAAGCCACUGUCUGAGACCGUAAUGACUGAGCUUCUCCAGUCAUUUAGAAGUAAAAAUAGUAAAAUGUGGCUCUAGUCUUUUCCUCACAUCUCUGGGGUGCUGACAUUUUGGCCUCUACCCUCGAAGCCUGUCCGGGCCUGUGCUCCUUUGGACAUCCCUUCUCUUUGUAACAUUGCCAACCUCUUCUUGUCUCCUAGAAGGUAUCACCUGUGCCAAGAGAUCCUGUUUCCCUGCCGCCCAUGUGACUGUGGCCGCACUCCUCCACAGCUCUUAGACUCAAGCCACAGCAGUGCUGUGUGGCCCGGCCCAGCCAGGAAACACAUCAUGACACUUUCUAACGUCAAGCCUGUGCUUUUGGUGACAGCAUGGCAAGGUCAAUAUGAAGGGAGACUGGUGAGAGGGUUCUUGGUCUGUAGCUCUCAAAAACCAAGUUCAGAGAGUGCGCUGGAGAUCUUGCUUAGCCUUCUUGCUGUUUACUUCUUUGUGACUAAUUCUUUGUGAGAAUCAGGGCUGAGCAGGAUGGAGUUUUAAGUUUGUGGGCUAGGCAUGCUUUUCUUUUAUGUGUUGUCCCCGACAGUCUGAUCUCUGUAGCUAAACAGCAUCAUUGCCUCUCUUCUCUCGGUCUAAAAAUUUUUUCAUGCUUAUUUAAUAUUUAAGUGGAUAUUUUUUUCUCCAUCCUGCAUACCCUCAUGACUUUUUUCUUAAUUUGCCUCCUUUUUGACUUCUUCAAAGAGUUUAAUUCAACUAAACAUCCCUUCUUUCUUUAAAUUGCCUCUUCCCUUAGCUUCUGAGCGUCUAUUCUCCUGGAACUUUUCCUAUAUGUUGAGUUAUUUCUUCUUAACUAGAAAAUGGUGAAAUGUCAUUCUGGAGAGGUGCCUUUUCUUAUGGAAAUGUGCAGAAUUAAAAAGCAUGGAUUACCCAUGCUUCCCAGACCAAACUCUGGGAAUAAAGGUUGGAUCACCCUGAACAGGUACAGAAGGAGUUAGGAAAAUAGAGAAGGUAGGGAGUUAGGAAGAUAGAGACCAGUGUGGGCUGUUGGCACCUGAGAAGGCUAUUUGCAGGAAAAGAUCUUUCUCCUUAUAAGUAAAUAAUUCUGUAAGUUUUGUGAAAUUUCAUAAAAGUAUUUAUUCCAUUUGGUCACAUCUAGUAAGGCUAAACAAUGCCCACCUUAUAAGCCAGUAAUUACAGUCCUAUAUAACAGAGAAAUUAGUACAUGUGUCAACAAAAAGGCAUAUACAAGAAUGAUCAUAGGAGAUUAAUUCAGAAUUGCUAAAAACUUGAAACAGGCUAAAUGUCUGUCAACAGGAAAAUGGAUGAACAAAAUGUGCUAUAUGUAUAAAGUGGAAUUCUGCACAGCAUAAAAAGAACUACUGAUGAGUGCAACGGAUGAAUCAUAGACACAGAGUCCAUACUGUGUGAUUCCAUUUAUAGGAAUUUCAAUAACAGACAAAAUGAAUCUGUGCUGUCGGAAUUGCAGUUACCUCUGGUAGAGAUAGUACUGACUCGGAAGGAGCAAGAGGGAGUUGACAUAGAUGUUGAAAUGUUUCCUAUUUUGAUCUGGGUGGUGGUUAUACAAGUGUAUUAAUUUUGCCUGUUCUUUCAUGUUGUUUAAAUGGAAUCACACAGUGUGUAUUUUUUGGCCAUAGAAGUCAGAACUUUAUCUGGAUGGUGGUUAUACAGGUGGACACGUGUUAAAAAUCACCAGUUUGUAUACUUAAGAUUUGUACACUUUAUAUAUCUUAUAAUUUAAAAUUUUUUAAAGGUUCCAUUGUCUGGGAAGAUUGUGGCUGGCAAUUAACAUUAUAGUCACCCUCUUUGGACAAGGCUUCAGGCUCCAAGUUCCCCAGAGCAACUAGAUAGUUUGUAUCCUGAAUCUUCUUUAUGAAUAUAUCUCAUCUGACAUGUUGAUUCUUGGAAAAUAGUGAUCAUUGGAUUAUAACGUCAAAAUGGAGGAGUACAGUUAAUGCUUAAAAUAGGACUAAGGGUGAUGCAAAGUGAUUUGUAGUAAGCACUCAAUACAUAUCCGAGAAUGAGGAGGAUUCCUGGGACCUUUGCAACAGUUGUCCUUUAGUAAGUGUGGGAGAGGCUGGAAUUCAUAAGUCCUGGCCAUAGGUGGACCCAUUGGUGUCACAGAACUGUUCGAUUGGAAGUCUUGCCAUUUCUGUUCAUUUUCAAAGUCUUUUAUGAUGACCCCUUUGUGACAUCUCAUCUAGACUUUAACUGCCACCUUUAACAAGAGCCACAACUGCAGAGGCUGCAGACAGAACAGCAGAUGGUCAUUGCCCGCUUAAUGGCAUCCCAAAGGCAAACACUUUUUUCCCACCCCUGGAAGCCAGUUUCAGUGCUCAACCUCUAUUUUUAUUCUGCUAUUCUCAGUCUCGUGGUAUUAUCAUGUGGGGUUUUUCAAUUAUUUACACUUACAAACUGGCAUUUGGAUGAAAUGUACCUGUCUCUUUGCACAGCAGACUCUCCUGUUACCUUGAAAUGGCUGGUUUACAAAGUGACAUCUUCUCACACGCACAUGACAGAAAGGAUGUUGCAAAAACACAUCCUGAGUACUAGUCCAGGUAUUCUGUUUGUUCAGCCUGUUAUCUCGAUAAGACAGUAGCUGCAUUUAUAGAUUUAGGAAAUGUAAUUCUUCUCUUAGGGAUCAUGGGAAUUCAACAACAACUCCCGCCCCACUCUCCACCUGCCUCGCUGCUGAAUGGAGUCAUUCAUGUUUACGGAAACACUUGUCCUUCUUUCAAAUUAGGUUCCUCCACACGCUGGGGCUUGUCUUCAUCUGCAUGGUCAAGCCGAAUCUCAGCCACACAAGAACGGGAAGGAGUGGAUGUCCAGAACAAGUAAUCCUUUCUCAUAACAUAUAAAAGGAGAAAUAUAGCAAAAAUAUUUGCAUAUCGCCAUAUGUUUCUGGUCAAGGUAGAGUUGUAAAUUUUGUUCCAAACUUGUGGGAAUGAUAGAUAAAAUGUAAAAGACAUAGAUGGGCUCAAAAUCUAGAGGAACAUCUCCAAGGGCAUAAAAUCAAAUGUUUUAUUGAGGUUCAAAGUGUAGAUUCUCUGGGCUUUGGGUGAACAUGCAUAUAGGAACUGUAUGGAGCUUACUGUUUAACAUCUCUUGCUCUGGAAAUGAGACAGAAAGAGGCUAUUGUGGGCCUAUGACUAAUAGGAAUCUGGGAGCCUGGGGAUUUGGGAUUCAGCCUCAUCAAUAGCAGUUGAACAAGCCUCCCACUGGCUCAGUAAGAGAACUGGAUUUGCUAUAUUUCCCCAAAUCACUCUGGGGUAAGGACUUUGAAUCAUCAAUAUAAGCCCACCUGGAAUGGAGUGGAGGGGAGAGAGAGAGAGUGUGAAUGCAAAGGUCCCCCCUCAAAAAUACUGUCUUAA
rnacentral:lncRNA from 1 species